ensembl:lncRNA
AGAGACAGGGUUUCUCCAUGUUGGUCAGGCUGGUCUCGAACUCCCAACCUCAGGUGAUCUGCCCGCCUCGGCCUCCCAAAGUGCUGGGAUUACACGUGUGAGCCACCGUGCCUGGUCUAGGGAAUUGACUUCUUUUUGACCUUCUGCACUCCCUUCUCCAAAAGGAUUGUGGCUUCUGAUGACCACUGACCUCAGCAGAAGUUGAUAAGGCAGGAGGAAUUUCCUGUUAACACAGUGGGUUAGUCCUCCUGGAAAACCAGCUGCUGAGCAUGAGUUUUCCUUGGAUCUCUCUGGGCCUUGCACCCACAGGAAGCUUUGAGGUAGGGCCCUUGGUGUUUACAACUUCUGAGAGAGUAGUGAUGGGACCCCAAAGUAAGCUAGUAUCAGAGGGCAGUAAUGACCUUCCCAUAUGCCCAUCCUGUGGUCACCUGGGAUUUGGAUUCCCUGGGAGUGGAGGUGGGAAAUAGGAGCCCAGGGAAGGAGAUUUGAAGCACCCAUGGUUUAAAUAUCGACUCUUCCUGGCUAGCCAGGGCGUGCUCAUGUUGGGGCCUACCCAGGUCAGUGGCCUUUUCACUCUCAAAGAUCAGGGGUGACGAAGCAGCAUCUUAAACAGUAUUUAGGCUGACAGAUUUUUCCAGUUGAAGAAGCUGAAGUAUCUGCCUUUUGAGGGUGACUUUAGAUUACAAGAAAGACUAUCAGAUCCAAUCAGCUUUUGAAAAAUCAGGAAUGUGCUUAAAAUGCCAGUGAGUUGUGAAGAUCAGGUUUAUUUCCCAGGGUAGGCAGUCUUCCUUUCCCUCCUUUUCCAGUUCUUUUUUCCUACCUGCCCUUCUGUAAGCCUGGUCUCUAGUGCCAAGGACCUUGGAAGAAAGAGGGCCCCUAGCUAAGCUGGAGCCAGAAAGAACCUUCAUGGUGAGUGUGGUUUCCCAAACGUGGGAAAUGAACCUAGGGUGAGAUUAGGGAGGAUUUGUAGAAUUCUAGCAGGUAAAAAUCAAGCCUUUUUCCUCUCCCAUAGUAAACUUAACUAUUUUCACCCUGUACAUUAUCUUCUAGUUCCUACUAACAUCUCCAAUUAGACAACCGCUUCAAAGGGUGCUUAGCACCAGGGAUUGGGGUUCAUGGACUUAGGAGGUGGUAAGGAAACUGACUGGCACCACCAAACUGCCUUAGUGAACUUGGCCCUUCCCAGGCAGGUAGGUUGGGCAUUGAGGGAAAGUGGCCCAGUCUUUCCUGGCAGGGUCUGGCCAGUCUCAUGGGAGCACCACUAGUGUGGUGACAGAAGUGGUGUCAUUUAUUGAAUUCCACCUCCGUUUAGAAGGAGAUCAUGGUACAAAGCCCAGGAGGGGCCUUAAGAUGUGAAGAUCUCUCUGAGUAAAAGGCAAGGGGCUUCUCUUCUUCACCUCUGGGAUAGGUGGUAGAUCGGAGAGUUUUAUUUUCAGGGUCAAGGCUGUGGACUGAUGGGGAUAUUGGAGGGUGGGUGGGUUUUCCUGAGAGACUUUGUAUAAUGCUGAAUGUGUCCAGAGGGACAAGUUUGCAGAACCUCAUAUUGGUAUAUUAAAGAAAUAAUAAAAUAAAAAAGCACUUUAGGUUAUUUUAUCUUUAACCCGAUUGCUGCAAUUUCUUUUGUGUGUAUAUAUACAUAUAUAUACUUUCCACAAAGUUUAUUUUUUGCUCAGAAUAAAAAGUUAAAUUGAGGUGUGAAAAGAAAAGCACUUACCUUGGUGCAAUAUGUGUAGCUUGAUGGUCGUUGUCCCAUGUGGCCCUGGCCUGGCCGCGUUUUUCCGCUCAAUCAGCCCUGUGCUAUGAGGCUGUCCAUAGAGAAACACUAUUAUGCAUUCUCAGCAACCGCUCAAUCUAUGCAAGCCUUCCCUGUGUGCCCCAGGGCGCCCCCUCAGGCUCUCUGAAGAACUGCUGUGGGUCCUGUUUUCUGCUGACUGUUGAGGCCCUUUUUCAUCACUUCUUGGUCUCUCGCCAUCUUUUCCCUCUUCACCAUUACAAAAUGAUGCCUGAAAGGAACAGAUUGUUCCUAGGUAGAAACCUGGCACCUUCUAGACUUUGAUAUUUGUAAUCACAUCCAUUGUCCUUAAAGACUUUUCCAGAGUCAUUGAAACCAUUGAUUUGUGGAACUGCAACAGUAUUUCUCAAGAGUUUACAAUUGUCUUACACCACCAAUCAGAAAUAUGUUUGGGGGGGCAUGGGUGGCAGGGGGCAACAUGAGCCAUUUCCAUACUGGUCCCCAUACUACCUGUGUUGGUUCCUUAAGCAAAAAGGCCUCCAGCCUUCAUUAAAUCCUAUAAACAAACAUUAAAUCCCAUGAAUCAUUAUCAACUUUCUUCCUUUAUUCCACCUCCCCGAUUUUAUCUUCAAUUCUCAGGCUAUAGAAUAGAUGAGUUUUAAAAUAUACUUCAGCCACCCUUUACUCCAUCUCCCCCACUUUAUCUUCAAUUCUCAAAUUCUCAGGCUAUAGAAUAGGCAAGUUUUAAAAUAUAAUUCAGCCAAAGCAGAAAGAUUUUCAUAGAUCUAAUAUGCAAAUGGUUCUGCUGGGACAUAGAUCAGAAAUUAUCUGUUCCUUAAUAUUUCGGGGUGGAGGCAACAAAACUGGAGCAUAUUUCUGAUUGGUUAGCCAUAUUAGCCUGUUUCCUCUUGCAUGUUUUUUUAGGGAGGGAAGGGGUCCUGUAUUUCUUCUCAUGCCCUUAGGGGAAGCCAACGACCACUGGGCAUUUCUCACUGUUACUCCUGUUCAAGAGAGGGCUUCUCAGUCUGCACUGAAAAAUGCAAAUUAAACUGGAUCUUUAUGUCAAUGUGUACAUAGUACAAGCUUUUCUACUGGAAUUGAGGUUCAAAACCACAUGCUGCCCUUUUGGUGGUGUGCCUGUUGGGCCAAAAUUGGGCGAUCACGUAGUGUCCCUUUCUCAGCUCAAUGCAGUUUCUACUUUUUCUUAUGGGAAAAUUUUUCAUAAAACCUUUUUGCACCAAAACCCAGGGGUGUUUUUUGCAAUAUCCUUGUUAUCCUCGUAGUGUGCCAAGUCAGAGGCUUCUCUUGCCCUUUUCCUGCUGUGUUCUCAGGCCUCCCAAGGGCUGUUUGACUCAACAGUCUACAUCCUUAGUUGUGUUUUGGAGAAUGUGAGGGUGGGGGUCAGAGUUCAAAGCGUCUGUUCCCUUUUCCUGUGAACUCUUCCUAGUCCGUUUGGGGAAGGUGGCUGGCAACAGAUUGUUGCUUAAUCUCUGGCUCAGAUCUUCUAGCCAGGAAAGGCAAGAGCCCCCAAGAGCCCUCUUUUUUUUUGACAUACACUAAUCAUUGGCCGGGGUCUUGGUGACAACUUUUAAAAUCCCAAAUAGUUUUAUUUGGAUUAUGUAAAAGUAAGUGUGAAACAUGGGAACAACAGACUUCCACUGAGCGAUAUGAAAACGUUACAGGUUCAGUACUUCCAAAGGAAGAAACCUCCAAACCCAAAAAAGAAUAAAUACGAAUUUGUAUUUUUGAAGAAUGUGAAAUAAUGGUGUUUGCUUAAUUGCUCAUUUUGUAUAAACUUAAUAUUGUACUUUAAAAUAUCUGCUAAGAAGUGAAAAUUUAACUUUUUGGAAUUGAAAAAGCAAUAUUAAAUACUAAUGAAAUCCUAAUUAAAUGCUUAU